rnacentral:rRNA from 1 species
AUUGAACGCUGGCGGCAGGCCUAACACAUGCAAGUCGAGCGGAGCGGCGGUCGGGUGCGCAAUGCCAAGGAUUCUGACUGGUAGUGCUGGAUAACGACCGGAACCGGGCGCUAAUUACGUAUCCUAUCAGACACGCCUAGGUCGGAUUAGCUCGUUGGUGGGGUAAAGGCCUACCAAGGCGACGAUCCGUAACUGGCCUGAGAGGAUGAUCAGUCACACUGAAAAUUAGAGACGAUCCAGACUCCUACGGGAGGCAGCAGUGAGUAAGUGGGGACAAGGUGCGAAAGCCUGAUGCAGGCAUGCCACGUGUGUAAAGAAGGUCUUAGGAUUGUAAAGCACUUUAAGUUGGGGGGCGUUACCAACAGAAUAAGCACCGGCUAACUUCGUGCCAGCCGCCGCGGUAAUUC